rnacentral:rRNA from 1 species
GUCGAGCGAACGGACGAGAAGCUUGCUUCUCUGAUGUUAGCGGCGGACGGGUGAGUAACACGUGGAUAACCUACCUAUAAGACUGGGAUAACUUCGGGAAACCGGAGCUAAUACCGGAUAAUAUUUUGAAUCGCAUGGUUCAAAAGUGAAAGACGGUCUUGCUGUCACUUAUAGAUGGAUCCGCGCUGCAUUAGCUAGUUGGUAAGGUAACGGCUUACCAAGGCAACGAUGCAUAGCCGACCUGAGAGGGUGAUCGGCCACACUGGAACUGAGACACGGUCCAGACUCCUACGGGAGGCAGCAGUAGGGAAUCUUCCGCAAUGGGCGAAAGCCUGACGGAGCAACGCCGCGUGAGUGAUGAAGGUCUUCGGAUCGUAAAACUCUGUUAUUAGGGAAGAACAUAUGUGUAAGUAACUGUGCACAUCUUGACGGUACCUAAUCAGAAAGCCACGGCUAACUACGUGCCAGCAGCCGCGGUAAUACGUAGGUGGCAAGCGUUAUCCGGAAUUAUUGGGCGUAAAGCGCGCGUAGGCGGUUUUUUAAGUCUGAUGUGAAAGCCCACGGCUCAACCGUGGAGGGUCAUUGGAAACUGGAAAACUUGAGUGCAGAAGAGGAAAGUGGAAUUCCAUGUGUAGCGGUGAAAUGCGCAGAGAUAUGGAGGAACACCAGUGGCGAAGGCGACUU